GACGAACGCUGGCGGCGUGCCUAAUACAUGCAAGUUGAGCGCUGAAGGUUGGUACUUGUACCGACUGGAUGAGCAGCGAACGGGUGAGUAACGCGUGGGGAAUCUGCCUUUGAGCGGGGACAACAUUUGGAAACGAAUGCCAAUACCGCAUAAAAACUUUAAACACAAGUUUUAAGUUUGAAAGAUGCAAUUGCAUCACUCAAAGAUGAUCCCGCGUUGUACUAGCUAGUUGGUGAGGUAAAGGCUCACCAAGGCGAUGAUACAUAGCCGACCUGAGAGGGUGAUCGGCCACAUUGGGACUGAGACACGGCCCAAACUCCUACGGGAGGCAGCAGUAGGGAAUCUUCGGCAAUGGACGAAAGUCUGACCGAGCAACGCCGCGUGAGUGAAGAAGGUUUUCGGAUCGUAAAACUCUGUUGGUAGAGAAGAACGUUGGUGAGAGUGGAAAGCUCAUCAAGUGACGGUAACUACCCAGAAAGGGACGGCUAACUACGUGCCAGCAGCCGCAGUAA
rnacentral:rRNA from 1 species